rnacentral:lncRNA from 1 species
CUAGUGAGAAGAGGCAGACAGAAACAAAAUAAUGAUACCAGGAGGCCCUUCACAAACCUUCCUGGAUGCACAGAGCCUUCUCCCUGCUUGAAUGGAGACAAAGAGAAAACACAUCAAACGAUCUGGCCACAUUAAAAGGGGAAUGGCAGGCUGUAUGACAGGAAGAUAAACCCUGUACUGAAAUUUCCAAAGCCUGUAAACAGCUGAGCAUAAUCAUGUUUCAACUUGGUGGUAUAUUACUUUGGACAGAGUGGUUAUGCCAUAAAAAGCUCAAAGCGUGAAGAUGGGGUUCUAUUUUUUCCAUUAAUUGCUGCAGCGUUUCAGAUUAAUUCCAGUGACGUGACAGCCCAAAAAAGCAAUGGUUUAAACACCAAUAAAUUUUAUUUUUCUCUUAA